UACGUAGGUGACCAGCGUUGUCCGGAUUUACUGGGCGUAAAGAGCGCGCAGGCGGUCGUUCAAGUCGAGUGUGAAAGCCCCCGGCUCAACUGGGGAGGGUCACUCGAUACUGAUCGACUUGAAGGCAGGAGAGGGAAGCGGAAUUCCCGGUGUAGUGGUGAAAUGCGUAGAUAUCAAGUGGAACACCAGUGGCGAAGGCGAGUCCCUGGACAACUCCUGACACUGAGGCACGAAAGCUAGGGGAGCAAACAGG
rnacentral:rRNA from 1 species